UACGUAGGUGGCAAGCGUUAUCCGGAUUUAUUGGGCGUAAAGGGAACGCAGGCGGUCUUUUAAGUCUGAUGUGAAAGCCUUCGGCUUAACCGGAGUAGUGCAUUGGAAACUGGGAGACUUGAGCGCAGAAGAGGAGAGUGGAACUCCAUGUGUAGCGGUGAAAUGCGUAGAUAUAUGGAAGAACACCAGUGGCGAAAGCGGCUCUCUGGUCUGUAACUGACGCUGAGGUUCGAAAGCGUGGGUAGCAAACAGG
rnacentral:rRNA from 1 species